GACGAACGCUGGCGGCGUGCUUAACACAUGCAAGUCGAACGGGCCUGUCUUCUUUUUUGGGGGUGGGUUGAGUGGCGAACGGGUGAGUAUCACGUGAGUAACCUGCCCUUCGGUCCUGGAUAACCGCUUGAAAGGGCGGCUAAUACGGGGUGGUCCGGUUGGUCCGCAUGGGCUGGUCGGGAUAGAUUCACUGUUUUUGGUGUUUCGGCGGGGGAUGGGCUCGCGGCCUAUCAGCUUGUUGGUGGGGUGAUGGCCUACCAAGGCGGUGACGGGUAGCCGGGCGGAGGGGGUGGGCGGCCACACUGGGACUGGGAUACGGCCCAGACUCCUGCGGGAGGCAGCAGUGGGGGGUAUUGCACAAUGGGCGGAAGCCUGAUGCAGCGACGUCGCGUGAGGGAUGGAGGCCUUCGGGUUGUGAACCUCUGUUUCCGGUGGUGAAGGCCCUGUCCGUGUGGUGGGGUUGACGGUAGCCGGGGAUGAAGCGCCGGCUAACUACGUG
rnacentral:rRNA from 1 species